rnacentral:rRNA from 1 species
GACGAACGCUGGCGGCGUGCUUAACACAUGCAAGUCGAACGGAAAGGCCCUGCUUUUGUGGGGUGCUCGAGUGGCGAACGGGUGAGUAACACGUGAGUAACCUGCCCUUGACUUUGGGAUAACUUCAGGAAACUGGGGCUAAUACCGGAUAGGAGCUCCUGCUGCAUGGUGGGGGUUGGAAAGUUUCGGCGGUUGGGGAUGGACUCGGGGCUUAUCAGCUUGUUGGUGGGGUAGUGGCUUACCAAGGCUUUGACGGGUAGCCGGCCUGAGAGGGUGGCCGGCGACACUGGAACUGAGAGACGGUCCAGAGUCCGACGGGAGGGAGCAGUAGGGAAGCUUCCGCAAUGGGCGACAGACUGACGGAGCAACGCCGCGUGAGUGAUGAAGGUCGUCGGAUCGGAAAACUGUGUGAGUAGGGAAGAACAGAUGUGUCAGUAACUGUGCACAUCUUGACGGUACCUAAUAAGAAAGCCACGGCUAACUACGUG